AUGAACGCUGGCGGCGUGCCUAAUUCAUGCAAGUCGAGCGAACAGACGAGGAGCUUGCUCCUCUGACGUUAGCGGCGGACGGGUGAGUAACACGUGGAUAACCUACCUAUAAGACUGGGAUAACUUCGGGAAACCGGAGCUAAUACCGGAUAAUAUAUUGAACCGCAUGGUUCAAUAGUGAAAGACGGUUUUGCUGUCACUUAUAGAUGGAUCCGCGCCGCAUUAGCUAGUUGGUAAGGUAACGGCUUACCAAGGCAACGAUGCGUAGCCGACCUGAGAGGGUGAUCGGCCACACUGGAACUGAGACACGGUCCAGACUCCUACGGGAGGCAGCAGUAGGGAAUCUUCCGCAAUGGGCGAAAGCUUGACGGAGCAACGCCGCGUGAGUGAUGAAGGUCUUCGGAUCGUAAAACUCUGUUAUUAGGGAAGAACAAAUGUGUAAGUAACUAUGCACGUCUUGACGGUACCUAAUCAGAAAGCCACGGCUAACUACGUG
rnacentral:rRNA from 1 species